UCUUGCUAUUACGGCCUACAACUCUCCAUUGUAGACGGCUCUUUAGACUAUGUAAAUGAUUUUCCUCUUCCGACGUAUCAAACAUAUGAUUGCGAAGUUCUAAAAACAAAUUUUUUGCGACUAGAUUGGCGAAUACCGCAUUCACGAUAAUGUGAUUUAAUCCUGGCGUAUCGAUAGGCAACUCAUAAGUAGCUAUUUUGUCGAUCAUAAUUUUCUGAGAGCGCGUAAAGUCUAAUUUUCGUCGCAAGCAUCGUGGACUGCUUAUAUAACAGUGAUCAUGGCGUGCAUUUCGUGUUGUAGUGGUUGGCGUAGAUGAUCCUUGCAAUAAUUCUUCCUGAUAAGUGUCAAGCAUCCGGUGCACGCAUUCUGCAAACAAAAAUAAAUUGUGACUCCAAUAGUUACAAGCAAUAAUUAAGACACGAAAAAAAUUUGACAA